rnacentral:rRNA from 1 species
UACGUAGGCAGCGAGCGUUGUUCGGAAUUACUGGGCGUAAAGGGCUCGUAGGCGGCCAACUAAGUCCGACGUGAAAUCCCCAGGCUUAACCUGGGAACUGCGUCGGAUACUGGAUGGCUUGAAUCCGGGAGAGGGAUGCGGAAUCCCAGGUGUAGCGGUGAAAUGCGUAGAUAUCUGGAGGAACACCGGUGGCGAAGGCGGCAUCCUGGACCGGCAUUGACGCUGAGGAGCGAAAGCCAGGGGAGCAAACGGG